UGGGAGAUCGUCUAAUGGUAGGACAACUGGCUUUGAACCAGUCAAUCGGGGUUCGAAUCCCUGUCUCCCAG
rnacentral:tRNA from 1 species